UACGAAGGGGGCUAGCGUUGUUCGGAAUCACUGGGCGUAAAGCGCAUGCAGGCGGGUCGUUAAGUUAGGGGUGAAAUCCCGAGGCUCAACCUCGGAACUGCCUCUGAUACUGGCGAUCUUGAGUCCGGGAGAGGUGAGUGGAACUGCGAGUGUAGAGGUGAAAUUCGUAGAUAUUGGGAAGAACACCGGUGGCGAAGGCGGCUCACUGGCCCGUUUCUGACGCUCAUGCACGACAGCGUGGGGAUCAAACAGG
rnacentral:rRNA from 1 species